UACGUGGGUGGCAAGCGUUGUCCGGAAUUAUUGGGCGUAAAGCGCGCGCAGGUGGUUUCUUAAGUCUGAUGUGAAAGCCCACGGCUCAACCGUGGAGGGUCAUUGGAAACUGGGGAACUUGAGUGCAGAAGAGGAAAGUGGAAUUCCAAGUGUAGCGGUGAAAUGCGUAGAGAUUUGGAGGAACACCAGUGGCGAAGGCGACUUUCUGGUCUGUAACUGACACUGAGGCGCGAAAGCGUGGGGAGCGAACAGG
rnacentral:rRNA from 1 species